AAAAGAAAGAAAUACUUGUGUGUGUGUGUGUGUGUGUGCUUGAAAAGAUCACCCGGAACCCGGAAAUCAGACACGACCGGGAAGUCAUCCGGACCCUGUGGAUGCUGAUCAUUCAUUGAACGGGUCGCUCCAACUGUUCAACGACGAUCAGUCAGAGGUCGAAGGAGUAGGGCACCCGCUCGUUGAUUCUUUAACUCACCAGACGCCUCAGCUGAUAGGAGAUACAAAGACAACGAGCACGCCACACCUUCUACCUGUCGCUUCAACACCAACACCAACACCAAC